rnacentral:sRNA from 1 species
GGCUCGAGCGUCAGCGAGAGAGCGUUGCCGCAGGCAACGACCCGAAGGGCGAAGCGCGCAGCGCUGAGUAAUCCUUCCCCCACCACCA